UGGAAGAUGGCUUAGUGGGUAAGAGCACAUGCUCUGCAAGCAUGAGAGCCUGAGUUCAAAUACUCAGCAACCAC
rnacentral:tRNA from 1 species